rnacentral:rRNA from 1 species
UACGUAGGGUGCAAGCGUUAAUCGGAAUUACUGGGCGUAAAGCGUGCGCAGGCGGUUGUGCAAGACAGAUGUGAAAUCCCCGGGCUCAACCUGGGAACUGCAUUUGUGACUGCACGGCUGGAGUGCGGCAGAGGGGGAUGGAAUUCCGCGUGUAGCAGUGAAAUGCGUAGAUAUGCGGAGGAACACCGAUGGCGAAGGCAAUCCCCGUGGGCCGCACUGACGCUCAUGCACGAAAGCGUGGGGAGCAAACAGG